GACGAACGCUGGCGGCGUGCUUAACACAUGCAAGUCGAGCGGUAAGGCCCUUUCGGGGGUACACGAGCGGCGAACGGGUGAGUAACACGUGGGUGACCUGCCCUCAGCUCUGGGAUAAGCCCGGGAAACUGGGUCUAAUACCGGAUAUGACUCCAUGACGCAUGUUGUGGGGUGGAAAGCCUUGUGCGGCUGAGGAUGGGCCCGCGGCCUAUCAGCUUGUUGGUGGGGUGAUGGCCUACCAAGGCGACGACGGGUAGCCGGCCUGAGAGGGCGACCGGCCACACUGGGACUGAGAUACGGCCCGGACUCCUACGGGAGGCAGCAGUGGGGAAUCUUGCGCAAUGGGCGAAAGCCUGACGCAGCGACGCCGCGUGAGGGAUGACGGCCU
rnacentral:rRNA from 1 species